rnacentral:tRNA from 1 species
AAAUAAUGAAGUAAAAUUUACAUUUAGUUUCGACCUAAAAUUAAGGCCCAGCCUCUUAUUUA